CAGGAUGAACGCUGGCGGCGUGCCUAACACAUGCAAGUCGAGCGAUUACUUCGGUAAAGAGCGGCGGACGGGUGAGUAACGCGUGGGUAACCUGCCUCAUACACAUGGAUAACAUACCGAAAGGUAUGCUAAUACAGGAUAAUAUAAGAGAUUCACAUGGAUUUUUUAUCAAAGCUCCGGCGGUAUGAGAUGGACCCGCGUCUGAUUAGCUAGUUGGUAAGGUAAUGGCUUACCAAGGCGACGAUCAGUAGCCGACCUGAGAGGGUGAUCGGCCACAUUGGAACUGAGACACGGUCCAAACUCCUACGGGAGGCAGCAGUGGGGAAUAUUGCACAAUGGGCGAAAGCCUGAUGCCAGCAACGCCGCGUGAGUGAUGAAGGCCUUCGGGUCGUAAAACUCUGUCCUCAAGGAAGAUAAUGACGGUACUUGAGGAGGAAGCCCCGGCUAACUACGUGCCAGCCGCAGC
rnacentral:rRNA from 1 species